UUAAAUACAUGUUUAUUUCUAGAAGAAAUGGUUGUGAUCCUGCUAAGGCCAUUUGUUUAGAAUUUGAAGAGAAGAUAAAUAUUCAAAUAUACCAAUAACAUUAAGAAUAUACACUAAUCCCAGGACUGCUCCAGUGCUGAGCAAGAGGCAAUAGACACAAGUAGGUCAAUUCCAUUGUAAAUCCAAGGGUUUACCGUGCUCUACAAGAGUUCAGGAAGGACAGGGCAGAUCAUGUACAGACAUUAAUGAAGACUUACAGACUUCAACAAUUGACAUCAAAAUAAGAUUCAUUACUGAAAAUUCACUUCCUCCCUUAUCUCCAACUAAUAAUCAAGCCAUUUUCAGACAAGACUCAGAAAUUGUUUUAUUAAAUUGAACAUAACAUCAAGCCUUUACCAGAAAUCAGUGCAUAAGAGAGAAUACACAGCCAAAAUAAGCCAUCAACAUAAGCAGUAUAAAUCUUAAAUAACUUUCAGAUUUCUAUAUUCAAUAUAAAGAACAAUUUCAAGUUCAUAAUUCACAGUUGUUUGGUUUUAAUGCCAUGACACAUUUGUCAUUUCUGUAGCCCCAAAAGAAAAGUGGUGAUUGGCACAUUGCCACAUUGCUCCAAUAGUAUACACAGAUCUUAAACACCUGUGUGACAUUUAGUGAAGACUUUUGGAAACAACCCAGUUUUGUACUGUUUGGGCUAGCACUUUUCAGAAAUAUUCUUUACCAAAAAUUUUGUCUGAGUGAAAUAGCAAAAGCAGUUUAAAAAUUUGCCAUGCCAUUAAAUGAAGGUUCUAAAGUCCUCCUUGGUUUUCCAUGAUUUGUUCUCUAAUUUAAGACAAUAAUAGUAUUCAACUACAACCUUAACAGUAAAAGCAAAACUUUGCUUUUGGACCUAGAGCAUAAUACAUCUAAGAGAGGGCACUUGUCAGCAUAGUUAAGUGCACAGAAUGCUUUAAAGCAGAGCCUGGCAUACUCUAGUAAGGCAUUUGAAAGCAGACACACCACAUCCAAACCAAAUCAUCAAGGUCAGCUGAGGGUGCCACGAGGUGAAUACCAAAUAAUGCAGAACCUACUUGAAAUUCUAACCAAAAAAGGACUUUUAUUUACAAAACCAUAGGAAGGUAGUCAGGUACCAACAGAAGACAAAAUAAUGACUAGCCACUCCAAAAGAGUUUUGUUCCAUAAAUGCCAGAUUUGCUAACUAUAAUAGACUAUGUAAUUUCCCUAGGACAAUAUCACUUAACAUCAGGUAGAGAAUAUAAUAUAUGAUUAUAUAUUAUAUAGCACUGAUUAAUCAGUGAUACAGAACAUUCACCUUCUCUAGUGAAAGGGUCGCUAAAACACACAGUUAUGAGUGAUUCCUGACAGCCAUUUUAAGGCAAAAAAAAAUCUGAUGAAUCCUGCAUUAAUAACAGUGUGUGAGACUUUAACAACUGCCACUGGCCUUAACUUUAAAACUGAUUAUGAGAGUAUCUUUAGGUUCAAAGCAUUUUAAAAUGUCUAAAAAUAAAAGUCUAAUUAGUAAAAAUAUGUAUGUUGCUUUGAAGGACCCAAAAUUGUUUAGUUAUUUAAGAAUCUACGAAUCUUUUCAAGCACAAGAAUAUGAAUCUACUGAUUUAAGCUUCAAUUCUGAUUCACCAUUGAUCUUGGUGACCUGGAGGAAGAUACUUAAAUUCCUUAGAUUUAUUGACAAGAAGUGGGCACAAAAAAUAAAGUCAGAUGCUAAAUGUUUGAAACAUUAUACAAAAAGCUAACAAUAGUAGGCUCACAAUUUCAUCAACUCAUUGUACAGUAAAAUUGCUUUUAAUUUUGCUAAUUGCAACUAAAAGAAGCAUGCUCUAGGAAUUGAAAUAAAAUUCUUGAGAUAAAUUAGUAGUUUCAAAUUUCUAACAAACUUAAUCAGUUCACCUUUUCUUCCCCUCUAUCUUCUGGCAGAGGAGUUAAAAGCAGAUCAAGAAUUAAGAACAACAACAAUAAAAAGCAGCAAUUAAAUAAAAUGAGGUUGCAUAGUUCAGGAAAAACACACCACUGGCUGAGAUGGGGAAGAGGGUCUUAUUAUGAAAACAAAAAUGUUUAAGAAUGAAACAAUUUAGAUAACCUACUCUAGAACACUUCAGUUUGCAAAAGGAGUUUGUUUUUCUUCAUUCUACACAUACACACAAGAACAGAAGCAGGGAGAUUAAAGUCCAUAGAAUAAAAAGAAAUGUUAAUUUAAAAAAUAUUAAGUCCUUGUUGAUGAUACCAAGUGAGCGUGUACUGUCUGAUAUUUUUAUUGAAAUGGUGAUCCUGAUGGACUGAGUGUAGAAAAUUGAUGCGUGGUGACAUGGAAAUGUAAUGCAAGUGAUAGCAGAAUCUAGUGGUGGGUAUAUUGUAAAUGUUUACAGCUUUGAUAGAUAUUUGAAAUUGGUCAUGAAAAGUUGCUGAGAAAAAUGUAUUUCUAUAACAAGAUUACCACGUAUCUUAAAGCUUUUAAGUACUCAAGAAAUUUAAAUGUUUAAACUAAGUGAAGGAAAACUGCAAUUGAAAACCCAGAAGCCCAAUUUGUGAAUACUUUUAGAGAAAGAUGGAGGGUGAAUAAUAUCAAAAUGCCUUGUAUCUUCAUAGAAAAUAUAUAUACUUCUUUUGAUGCAGAGAUGAACCAACAAUUAACAAUUACUAUGCACAAUAGUCUUUUAAUACACUUGAUUCACAAAUAUGCAGUUUUCUACUCUCUAUAGAAAAAAAUAUUUAAAAAGGCAUUGUGGAGUGAAGAAAAAGAACUUUUUCCCAACAUCAGUGUCAAGCCCUCACAAUCCAGCAAGUAACUACCUUCACUAAAUAUGAAUGUAACAUACCAAAGUAGUUAUGGCCAUGCUAUUAAAAUUGGAUUCAUAUAACAAUUUUACUUGUUAUCAAACUGAGAUUGCAUUAGAAAAAGAAAAAAAGAUAUAGAACAGAAUUCACCCAAAUCUUUGCUAUUUCAAGCUCUUGUUUUAUGAAUCAUGAUUAAUGUCAAUAAUUCUUUCAUCUCUACUCUCUGUGAAAUGCUAACACUUGCUAAAGGCACUCAUAUUCUGGUCUUAACAGACAUAGGGUCACAUGCAACCAUAAGCCAGUACUUUUUUGGUAGAUACACAGAAAAGAAGUUCAUAAAUGAUUCCCAUCAUCCUGGGAAAACAAUUAUCAGUAGAAAUGUCUUAUGAGUAACUAUUUACACAGAUUUAUUCAGCUACACAAAUACUAAUAGCUACCAAGGGCAGGACACCCCUACCCAGAAUAUCACCACCAAAACCAGACACUUUCUUUUAUAUAUAAAACUCCUAACCACUGAUCUGGGUAAUAAAGAAAAAAAUGGUAAGGUGAAAUUUUUUAAAAAGCUGUUCAAAGGUCAACAUUAAACUUUUGCCUACUCUGAAAGCACAUCACUCAAUAUAUUUCUAAAACAAUUCUACUAACACACACAUACACACACACACACACACACACACACUCCACUCCAAGUUCCUAAGCAAGUAUUCUCAGCCUAAAUUUUAAAACAAAGUCAAGAAUACUGUGAAAAACAGUAACAGACAAGCUACCAUUGUUCAGUCUCAACUGAAAUGGGAAUCAAGCAAUUGCAAAUCCCACUGUUAUUGCUUAGACUCUAUCUACAGAGGGAGAUUUAUAAUAUGUGCAUGUCUGUGUGUCUUUGUGUGUGUGUGUGUGUGUGUGUGUAUGAUGCAUACAUGUAUCUUUCUAUCACUGUUCAAACUGUAGUCAGUUAUCUACCUCACAUAGUUCUGCAGAAUAGCUUGUGAAGUCAGGUGAGAGGCCAUGUGUUUCCCAUUAGCCUGGUAGGUCACAUGAAUGGAGAUGACCCAAGUCAUAAUUCUUUUUUCAAUCUCAGGUACAAAAAUCCUAGGUGGGAGCUGGGCACCAGAAGGCCAUGCCUGUAAUCCUAGCUACCCAGGAGGCUGAGAUCUGAGGAUCACAGUUCAAAGGUAGACCAGACAAGAAGGUCCAAAAAUAAAAAAAGCCAAGAGACAAGCAACACAAACAAUAAACAACAUGCACAUAUUGGCAAGUUACAAGAUAUGACACCAAGUCAGGACCAGUAAAGUAUUUUUUGUUCCAACUGCUUUGGAGUCAAACUAUUAAUGGAAAUACUCAGUUUUCCAACUGACCUUUAAAAAAACAAAAACACUUUGAAAGCAUAUGCAAUCUGAUCUUUUAAUUGAAACAUGAAACUUCUCCAUUACAACCUCUCACUCUCAACACUUUGGAGGAGUUCCUAAUUAUCUUCAACAGUGAUUUUUAAUGACGACAUAUACAAAGAUAUUCACAGAGUAGGAAGAUUUGAUAUGAUUAUUAGUUUUCUUAUCCUUUUUCUUUCUCUUUGUUUUUAACUAAUCAUUUAUGUUUUUAGGUCUCUGCCCUCUUGUAUAUAGGACAGAAAAAGACACAUGAUUUCUCAGAGAAAGAGUACAGAUAUUAAGCAUAUUACAGAAUAGAGCUUAUUUCACAACAUGAAAUAAGAGAUCACAUGUCACUGACCUAAAGGCAACAACUUCCUGCUUAGAAUGACUAUACAGCAUGCAGCCACAGCAACCUCUGUCACCCUCUAUCUCACCUAGGGAACAUGGAAAGAAUACAGCAAGUAACUAGCCCUAAACCCAACCUAGCAUCACAGAGACUUGUGAUUUUUUUUUUCUAUAAAUGAUCACAGAAAUUACUCAUCAACUUUCCGAGUUUGAAAAUUAAGAAAGAAAUUUAGCUAUCAUAGGCAAUAUGGUACUAAAAUGUCAUAUAAAACAAAUACAUACCUUGUUUUUAGUGCAAAGUAA